CUUCCUUCCAGGGGGUAUCUUGUUUUUGAUUCUAUCUCCGCCCUUUUUCCUGGACAGAAAAUAAACAUGCAAACAAAAACCCUAUUGGAACAAAAAUAUAAAUUUCUGGAAAACAUUAAAAGCACUCAUUUACUAAUGUAUUAAUUAAAACAAUAUUUACUGAGCACCUACUAUGUGUCAGAUGCUGCAUGCUAGGCACUAAAAAUAAAAAAGAAUAUAGCAUGGUGCUGUCUCCAGGUAGCUCACAGUCAAGUGGGCAGCAAGCAAGUGCUGGGAAUUCUCUGACACAUCUGGAAACAUCUGGGGGUGCUUCUCAUGGUGGGGCUUAUUCAUUAGAGCCCAUCCAGAAGUGCCACAUCAGUCUCCACGAAUUAAAAUCAGGAGAGCUUUGGCCAUUUCUCAUUUGAAGACCUUGGCUAACUGAAAGAAAUCCACAUUUUAAUAACAUUUUGAAUGGGUUGAUAAAAUAGGAACAGAUGGUUAAAGUUUGUCAUUUUAGGGAAAAUAAUGAAAUAUUGUACUGCUUAAUCUGUCUUCCUGUCACACUCUUCCCUAUCCCCUCCCUACUGAAAAUAUAUUCAGAUGCAACAAAACUUAAAGCAAAAUACUAAUAUCUUCUUAGACACUUUAGGUCUCUUCACCUGAAAGUGCUCUAAUUGUGUCAGCCUCCCAAAGUGCUGGGAUUACAAGUGUGAGCCACUGUGUACAGCCUUUGUGUUAACUUACUUUGAAUUAGCCCCUUAUUCCAAAGCUGCCUCCUGAAAGGAGGCUUCCUAAAAGGUGUUGCUUUGGGGUAAAUAAGAGGUGCUGGUGAAGUGAGACUAGCUUGCGCAUCUCUCUGCCAUGAAGGAAACUAGCUCCGCAGACGUUUUACUAACCACAGCAGACCCCCUCCUUGAGGAACCCAGAAGGGCAGAGGUAAGUUGGGUAACGUGUUCUUAAGUCUUCCAUUUACCUGACCCUGGGGUUCAUAUGGGGAUAAGCUCCAGCUGCUGACACCUUCUGAUCAAGAGAAGGCAGAAUGUCACCACUAUCACCUGCACUUUGUUUGGAUUUGCCUCUAUACCCACUGCAUUUCUCUGAUGUUUUUUUCUACCAUUCUGUUUGGACAGAGCAUCAGAUGAAAUCAACUGCUGAGAGAGGGAAGUGAGUGCUGUGUUGGCACCGCUGCCAGAAACUCUUGAGAAUGAGCAUCGUGUGCCACUUAUCCACUGCUUGCCGACUUCAGUAGCAAGAGCCUCCAGAAUGCUCAUGGAUAAACAUCAUCUUUGUGGCCACACAUUGUUUUAUGAGCUGAGUCAUCAGACUGGCUGGCUCCUUAAAUGCUGCUGUGUGAUUCUCUAGGCAGCAGAAAACAAGGAGAGAAGAUAUGAAGUGUAUCUCAUCGAGCUUUGUAGAGGGCCAGUAUCAUUCACCAAAGGUGAUGGGGGAUUUACCAUUAUGGAGUUUGCUUGUGAUAAAAAAUUAUUGAUCAACUUAAACUCUAAGAGAAAAAGAUGAUGCUGUCUGCAUUUCUUGUAAAUUAUUUAUAAAAUUUGUUUGGGUAUCGGCUAUUUUUAACAGCCACCAGUCUUAACGAAUUUCCUGCAGAAAACUUGAUUCCUUCCUUGCUCAUCGAGUUGCAAUUUAUCAUCUAAGGUAAUGAGUUAAACCCAAAAGUAACAGUGACAUGAUAAGUGAAACUGUUUGCAUACUUUGUUUUUUAAAUUGCUCUAUCAUGUUUAUCUUUUUUAUAGCUACUCAAUAAGACAUUGCAAUGAAUUUUUAAUUAAAACCAAUAUGUCUAUAAC
rnacentral:lncRNA from 10 species